UGCCAGCCGCCGCGGUAAUACGGAGGAUCCAAGCGUUAUCCGGAAUCAUUGGGUUUAAAGGGUCCGUAGGCGGUCUGGUAAGUCAGAGGUGAAAUCCUGCAGCUCAACUGUAGCAUUGCCUUUGAUACUGCCAGACUUGGGUUAUUGUGAAGUAGUUAGAAUGUGUGGUGUAGCGGUGAAAUGCAUAGAUAUUACACAGAAUACCGAUUGCGAAAGCAGAUUACUAACAAUAUACUGACGCUGAGGGACGAAAGCUAGGGGAGCAAACAGGAUUAGAUA
rnacentral:rRNA from 1 species